GUUUGUUUGAAAUUCAAGAUGCAUUAUCAAUCGCCGCAAGACAAGUGGGAUUUCUUGAGAAAAUACGCGGAUCAUUUCGAAUGGGAGAAAGAAGACGAGCAAGAAAGUCAGGGUUAGUCGCGUGUUUUUCGUCCCUAUGAUCUGUUUAUAGCGCUUAUAAUCUUCGAAAACAGAGGUGAGAACCAAGAAGAUUAAAGAAGUGAAAAAAUCCAAGGAAACGAUGAAAACGAAGAAGUCUAGGGAUACCGAUCGUACGGGGAAGACCGACGAAACGAGAAAAUCGAGGGUCGAUGAUCCAAAGAUUAAAGCGUUGAUUAAGCCACAACCAGUUUCCCUGUUUCUCAAUUUAGGCGAUAUAAAAAACGAAAUUAUCCCGGAUUUGGCACCGUGUUGGAGCCACUUUAUUUACGUAGAUCAGUCGCGUGAUAUUCCCCUAGAUCCUAAAGACGUACGUUGAACAAUCAGAAUGUAAUCUUAAGCGAAAUAUAAACGUAAGGUUAUUAAUUAAAACGAUGAAAACGCAGGUGAAGCCUCCUCUAGCAAAGUGGAAGUUUUACCGAUGGUUAAAAUGGGCAAUCAGCGAGGAAAUAAUCAAUCCAAUCGAAUAUUUCGUCCCGAUCCGAUCGUUGAAAAUUGUCAGCCCUUUGAAGAAAUACGAGGAGAGUGUGGUCAAUAAAUACAAUAAGUCGAUAAAGAAAGAAAAUAAAGAAAAUAAGAACGUUGUUGAGAACGAAGUGCCGACAACGAAGCCCAAAACAGCGGAAGAAAAUAAAGUUAAUGAAAAAUCAAAGAACUCCCAGAAAGAUUACGAGACGUUGGAAGAUACCUGUUUCUGGGCGGACUUCAACAAAAUAGAACCCUUCAUAAAAGAAGUUGAUUUCUUCUAUAAAAUAGAUUAUUUUCAAUACACUAUAAAAUUGUCAGAUCGUUUUGCAGCGAAACCGAGCGACGAGAAAUCGGAGACGAAGAAGGAUAGCAAGAAGGAGAGUAAAAAGAGUUCUCCGUCCAGGCAAAACAAAGAUUCCGAAUUCAUCGACGCGUAUCUAUGGCCCCAAAAAAUGUUAAAAUCCAGGAACGAUCCAUUGUACAUUUUCACCGAUUCGGUGGAAGAAAAAUUCUUCUUGAUCAGCUUCUCAACGUUUCAAGUUACCGCGGAAAUCGUGAAAAACGAAGGGGAGGACGAAGAGACAAAUCCUAAAACUCUGCUAAAAGCGAGCAAGGGUUAUCUGGCCGUGGAAAGGAAUCAUUGGUUUCGAAAACUGGAGAAACCCGACUACUUGAUUUUCAUUCUAACUGCUGGGACGAAAGCGACUAUACUCGAAAUAAAUCCCGGAAGACAUAUCUUGCAAGUCUAUUGUCAUUCAGACUCGAAUUGUUACGUGAGUAUUUCCUCGGAUACGAUUUUCCAAGUGGGCGAUAGAAGAAAGAUGUAUCAAUUGAUGUGCACGGAGUCCGAAAUGAUCGAUAAGAUGGCGAAGCACAUCAGCAACUCUAUAAGUAACGCCUUCCAAGCGUUUGGCACUGAAAGAUAUCCGAGUGCGUUGAAGGUUUAUUACAGUAGCUACUUGCCAUUUACUCUCGAGGAAAAGAAAACGAAGAAAAUACUUUGUCAAAAGACGCACGAAUUCUUUAUCAAAGAACUGGCAAACUCUAUUGGAAAGAUAAUUGCCGAGAACGAGUUACCGAACAUGUUGAGAGCAUUGAGAGUAUUUUUUCUCAACCAUAAGAUCGGUUUGCAAUGCUACGACGAGAUCUCGGUAGUUUUGAGGACUUUAAGAUAUAAGAGCAUACACGGAGAAGAUCUACCUAGUACUUUAGAUUCCAAACAUAUUAUUCUUUCUCAAAAGGAUGAAGCUGCCAGCAUCAUUCAAUCAUUUUUCAGGAUGAUCACUGUGAAAAAGUAUUUAAAGAUGCAUAAUCCUCGACACGAAAAGCACAAUGAGAUUUUGCAAAAUUUACUUAAGAUCGUGGAAUUGUUUAAUUACAACAAACAAGAAUCACUGGCUAAUACUAUACUGAGAAAUAUUGUCAAGCAUCACGAUAAAUUCUACGAUGUUUUCCAUUGCUCUAAAGAUUUUGAGUACAUCUUGCAAUCCGUAGAGUUCAAAGGGACGUUGACCAACUUGAAGCCAAAUCAAUGGUUUCCCAUUAUAAGAAUAAUAAUAAAUCCUCGAGUCGGCGAGGUAGUUUUCGCGAAUAUAAAUCUAUUCAUUAAUCUACCGAGAUACGACGUGCGCGUGUUCGACAACGAGAUAGACAAAGAGAUAUUAAAAAUAGUGAAUAACGUGGUGCCAACUCGUUACGAGCACACGAAACUGGGUUACACCCUUUUCUGUUAUGGAUGGACCGAUAGCGAUAUAAAUCAGAUGAAAGAGUUACCCUGGACAUUAAAUAUAAUCACCAUGAAAGGACAGCCCGAGUUUCAGUUUUUGAUCAAUGAAAUGAUCUUUACCAUGAUCACACCUCCCACCUUGGUCAUAGAAGAGCUAUGCAACACUUAUAUCCCCAAUUCGAGAAAUUACAUCUCAAAAUGGAUUAUUCGGGUGAUGCAAUCUAGUAUAGUGACGUUUAGAUUACGAGUAUCGUACAGUAAUGCGAAAAUAAGGCUGAGAGUAAAGGACGAGUAUGGCAAUUUGAUAACGAGAAAUAGAGGUUUCGCUGUUGUCAUCUUACCAGUCGUGUAUUUGAGGUUUAACAGAAGAUUUGAAUCGAAUGAAAAGAAUAACCACGAACAUAAGGAGGAAAUCGAUAUCAAAAAGAAUAUAUCGAAUAAUAAUAAGCAUACACCUUACACGAUUUAUUAUUUGGAAGGAUCGGUUCUCGGUAAAACCUGGCCACUUACGAGGGCAGAAUGGAGUAUCGUGUCAGAAUUUAAAGUGAAACCAAGUGGAUCUCUAGUUAGAACGAAAUUACCGUCUAAUAAUAUAAUAAAAAAGAAUGAAACAUCGAGAUCAAAGAAAAAUAUGAAGCAAUCCGCCGAAAAUGUUCAAACUCUCGAAUCCCCUUAUUGGAUUCUUCAAGUGAUCACCGAUUCUGGAAGUAAAGUGGAGAUAAUCGAAGACAGGACGAAGGAGUUGGAAAUAGCCGAGAUGAAGGAAAUCUGGGCAAAAGACAAUCCCGACAGUUUGGAACGUGGGAGAGAAAUCCGUAAAGCUUUCAUAAAGAAACACGCGGUCAAACAGCCGAUAGAAUGUUUCGAGAAGAAAGUUUCGAGCCAGUUUGAAAAAUCGUUGAUAAAAAAAGACAACGGGCGACCCUUGAUGGACGCGCCACAAGAUACGUCUUGUACGGAGCAGAGGACUUUGAGUCCGCCUCCUUCGCUUCGUAGACUUCCACCCUUGGAUCUGUCGGUAUACGAGGUCAAAGAGGAUGAGGAGAUGUUGAAGACCGAAUCGAAAGAACAAAUGCUGAGCGUGCUGCGCAAAUUGGAUGUUACGUGCGCUCAACAGGAUUACGAGCAUUUUCUCACAGAAUUGGAGAAUUUCAACAAGUUGCAGAAAUUGAACCACGAUAUACUGUAUCGGAUCAAAUACACCGAAGCGUUUCGCGAAAGAAAAGCUUUAAUGGAGAAUUUAUACGAGAUCCGAAAAAAUUACAUUGCCAUGAAAUCUCUGGCGCCGAGCGUUAAGUCUACCAAAAAGAGUCCUAUAAGCUCUAAGAAAAGCAAGAAGAAUAAAAAAACUUAGGCUAAUUACGUUUUUAAAAUUUAAGAAUAGAGUAAUUUAGCGGUAAGAAAAUUAAUUCGAUUAUAAAUGGCCGUUCACAACAAACAGUAAUAAUAAUCGGACAAAAAUUUCUAUCUACAAUAUUUGUCACUUUCUAAACUGUAAAUUGGAUAGAAACAUUUAUCUAUCGCCAUUUAAUUCAGUGGAUAUACGCACUUAAAUCACACGCUUAAUUCCACUAUAUUACCGGUAUCCCAGUAAUCCCCUCUCUUUACGAAUAAUUUAAGAAGCCAGUAUCAGUCCCUCGGUUAAUCUAUUAUACAACUGGAUACAUACUUGUCAGAGAUAGUGCAUAACUCUACCUUGCGCUAUUAAGAAAAGAGAAAAAAAAAAAAAAACUGGAGAAAUAUCUAGCAUCUCCAACAUGCAUUACCAUCUACAUAUUCACGACUCCAAUUCGCAAAAAAGUGUCUCUAAUUACCGCUUGAACCUUGUCCUUACUAAUCGCCCGAACCGCGGCCAACAUGCAUAAUCCGGUGCAACGACAUUCCUCGCUCGGAUUCCACAAUCCUCGCCAAGUCCUCCUCGAUCAAAAUAUACGAUCCAUUAUCACGUUCUAAAAGAUAGCGAUCGAUGAUUCAGGAUCCGCUUAAAUGGACACGAUUUUUCAUCGCCAAUUAUCUAGAACACAUAUUCCCAAAUAUGUUAUGCAUUAAACUUAAACCACUAUCAUUAUGAAAAUAAUUAGAUUUACGUUACGUUCAUACUCAUACUCAUAAAGAUUGAUAAUUAAUUGUUUCAAAAGCACGUAUGCAUUUUUAACAAAAAAAAAGAAAAAAUCUAAUAAACUUCGUCGCAAGAAAAUUUUGUUCAAUUCUUUUUAUACUUCUUUAUACAAGUUUCUUCUUCGUCAUCGAAUACAAAUACUUCUGAUUCUGAAAAGGAUAUUUGUCAACGAGAUUCAAAAAUUAUUGUUCAAAAAGAAAAAAAUAUGUAUAUAUAUAUAUAAAUUUAUAUAAUAAUUGACGCGACAGAAAACUUUGAACGAAGAUUGUAUAGAUCUCAGAACCAGGGCACACCGAUUAAAAACAAAAAUCGCGGAUCCAGACUCGGUCAGGGACACGAGAGUUCAUCGAUACAGAAAUCGCGGUUAUCGCGAGGAACUCAAACAGAAGUCGAUGUUUGCAUACUGGUAGGCUGCGGUGCAUCACGAGGAGGAGAGGACCGUCGGCGGGGCACCUUUUAAUGACGCGGUUCCCCGCUCGGCUGUGGAAAAGAAAAGUACGCUGAUCCGUUCCGACCAUUUUUCAUCCGGGACCAGUCCCCGUCGUCUAGCAAGAUUAUUACAAAACUGCUUGGGGAAGAGGUCUAGGUUAAGCGCAAGAACAGGUACAGCGCAGCCGAGGAGCGUAUAGAGUUGUGUUGGGAUUUUAUCCAACGUGUGGUUAAUGUGCGCUUCUUCCUUCUUCUUCCUUUUUCUUCUUCUUUCUUUUCCCCCGCCUCCCCCUUCCCUUUUUUUCUUUCUUCUUUUUCCAUCACAGCGAGUCGGUUUUGCACGAUCGGUCUGGUUUUACCGGAGAAAUUGAUUGAGAGAAGUAGAUAUACGCGACGAAGAAAGGCGAGUUGAAGGUGUUUCGCUUUGGUCGGUUGUAUGUGGAGCAAGUUUUUGUCGGUGAUGAGGUAGAAAAAGUGCGGUGGAUGAUGAAUCUCGUGUGCAUCAAACGUUGCAGGCUAUUCACAGAGCACAUCGUUGGCGAUCAUUUUUGUUGCCGGUUUUCGGAUGUCAUCGAACGAAUUAACAAUCGGGUGACAUGGUUGGUUUUCACGAACUAUGUCGUCGAUUCGUUUGUUAUGCGAAUUCAUGUGUUAUAACUGGUGCUAUGAGAAGAAAGCUUUGAAUAAGAUCGAGAUCUUUAAUAAAAUUCAUUUAAUCGAAACAUCAAUGAUUGAAAUUAAGGUUCAAAGAAUCGUAGAAUUGAAUGUUCGAAUGUGUGCAUACGCGCGUGAAGGAAUAAAGUGAAGAUUGAGUCGAGGAACACGUCAUCGUGACUUUUAGUUUAAGAUCUUCUUGUCAUUCGCGAGCUUCGACAGUUCCUCGCGUGUCUAAGAAUUUCUACGCCCGACCAAACCCAACAAAAUAAUCUCGAUGAAAUACUCCUCCCCUCCCCCCUUAAAAAAGAAAGAAAGCAAAUAAAUAUUUCCCUCGAACUUAAAAAUCCCUCACCUCCGAAAAAGAAAGGGAAAAUCAACAACAACAACGAAUAAUAAUAAAACAAUUUCCCAUAAAAAUUACACCUGACUUAUUUUUUUCUUUCCUUUUCUUUUAAAUCUUCGUCAAUGAAUUCCAUUUCAAACCCGCAAGGCUACUAGAACACUAUCAACCAUAAAACGCAGC